CUUUAAGAAAGCGUUAAAGCUCCUUUCCCCUUUUACUAAUAAUUCCUCUAAACGUAUUAAACCCUUUAUUAUUACUGAAUGAUUCUAUAACCUAUAGAAGUCCUGAUACUAAAACUAGUAACAAGAAAUAGUAUUUCUCCAAAAUAUAAGCAUAAGCCUCAAUGGACAAACCAUUGGCAGUUAACGUUAAUAAGAUCACUGUAGCAACCCCACGAGAAAACCCUACAAAUACAAACGUUAACCUUACACAAGCAUAUUCCAGGAAAGAUUAAAAGAAAGGGAAGGAACUCGGCAAAUCUCAACCCCGCCUGUUUACCAAAAACAUCGCCUCUUGAUAAACUAUAAGAGGUCCAGCCUGCCCAGUGAUAUAAUUAAACGGCCGCGGUACCCUGACCGUGCGAAGGUAGCAUAAUCACUUGUUCCUUAAAUAGGGACUCGUAUCAACGGCAUCACGAGGGUUUUACUGUCUCCCCUCUCUAAUCAGUGAAACUGACUUCCCCGUGAAGAGGCGGGGAUGUAACUACAAGACGAGAAGACCCCAUGGAGCUUUAAACCCAUUAACAACUCCUAACUAGAUAUACCCAUACAAACGAAAAGUGCUGUAUAAUGGUUUUAGGUUGGGGUGACCACGGAGCAAAACAAAACCUCCAUGACGAACGGAGUAUUUAUCCUAAUCCCUGAGCUACCACUCUAAGAAUCAAAAACUUGACAUAAAAUGAUCCGGUAACCGAUCAACGAACCAAGUUACCCUGGGGAUAACAGCGCAAUCCAUUUCAAGAGCCCCUAUCGACAAAUGGGUUUACGACCUCGAUGUUGGAUCAGGGUAUCCCAGUGGUGCAGCCGCUACUAAAGGUUUGUUUGUUCAACAAUUAAAACC
rnacentral:rRNA from 4 species